UGUGCACAAGGGCACGCAUGAAAUGUCUGGCCCACGGUAAACAAGUACGGACGCUGCAAAUAAUCUACUCUGCUCGUCCAGUCCCUAGCCUAUAAAUAGAUGCCAUGCUAGCUCUUGUUGUGCUCACAAUUAAUCCUGACUACACACGAGCUUCUCUCCCUGGCCAAGACACAAUCAUAGUAUGAUGAAGAACAUGGCACUAGCCGGCAAUGGUAUGAAGAACUUAAUCCUCGCUGUUCUCUUACUGUGUCUAGUUAUAGGGCAGAUACAAGUGGAAGCUAAGAGCUGCUGCCCAUCCAUUACUGCAAGAAAUAUCUACAAUGCCUGCCGUAUCACGGGUACAUCCCGUCCAACGUGUGCAAAACUGUCAGGCUGCAAAAUUAUCAGCGGGGACAAAUGCAAGCCCCCUAACGACCACCUCACCCUUGACCCGGACACUGGUAAAUAAUAAAUUUAUCUCACUUGAUUUCUUCGUGUUUUGAGUCGUUAAUGUAUUUUCCAUCUGAUGAAACGUAUUGGUUUUGCAUUGAAGAGGAAGUUAAUGUGCUUAACUUCUGCAAGUUGGGGUGUGCGUCGUCUGUGUGCAACAACAUCAACGCUGGUAAGCACCUUUUGCUCAGACGGAGAAAACAAUAAUCAUUAAUUAGCGGCAGCUAGAAUCCUAUAAUCUAAUAUAUUUAUAUAUAUAUAUAAUUUUAUCAGCUCUGGGAAAUGAAGAGGCGAACGAUGCCGUUGAGAGUUGCGACCAAGCCUGCUCUAGCUUCUGCAACGUGCACGUUGGCGCUGCCACCGUGGUUGCUUAAGCAAAUGCAUCCAACUGGAUCGUCCUUGUGCUAAAUAAUUGGAUAUCGUAUCCACUUAAAGCUGCCUUGUGUAGUACGUUUUUGUUUGUGUCUCUCUUUAUAUUCCAAUAAGGUCGGUGAUCUUGAUGCCACACACUCAGACGUGUGUUCAUCUCCAGAUACUACUCCAUGCUACCUGCCCUUUGUGUUUUGUUCAAUAACUGGGUAUCAUAUCCCAGCCAGUGUGCCAUCUGUUUUGUGUUUAUUUCCUUCUAGUUUCAAAGGGGUUAUCAUGAUGUUACCUUCUUUCGAUAUGGUGCUUUGCAUGACUACUGUUGUAUGGUACCAUCUUGUUGGCCAAUAAAUACAUCUUAUCCUAUGACCCUUUGCUAUGACCCUUUGCAAAUAAGUACAAGAUUGUUAAAUACUCGGUAUAAAUUGACUACUGCUGUGAGUUCCCUUUCAGCUUAUCGUAGGCAUACAUUAUUGCUAGCACGGUGAAGACAACCAACACGAAUGGUCAAGUAAACGUACCGGUACUUUUGUAUACCAACACCCUUGCUUAAAUGUACCGGUGUUACUCCCCACUAGCACAUAUAUUCUUAUAUGCUAGCCGGCUUGAAAAUUAACCGAUUAAAAUAAUUAUUUCAAGACAGAAAUAACUUAUCGGCUUCUCGAAGCAUGUGUAAUGUGAAUUCAAGGACUUGAUGGAAGUUGAAUCGCUUAAUCUAGAUUGCUUUCAGGAUUUUGGGUAACUAAAUUUAACAUUUGCACAUACAAAUGUUAAUGUACAAAUAUUAAAUAUAGUUACCCAAGCAGAAUAUGAAGAUACUCUAUAGUAUAUAUAUACUAUAUAAAUCUAGUUAACAUUUAGUCUAAAUGUUAAAUCUAGUUACCUAAAAUCCUGAAAGCAAAAUGUAUAAAUAUAUAUCUUUUAAGGAAUCCCAAAGCAAGAGUUCAGUGGCAUUCUAUAGUCCCAUGCUGCUAGUUUGAGUUGGUCGAAGCCAACUUAAAUAGGAGAGCUCUCUCACUUCUCUAAAUACGUAACUGAAGGAGAGAAGGGGGCUUGGUUACACAACGCACGCACGCACGCAUAUUUGCGUUCUUUUCGCGUAACCAACCGCGUGACUUGAAACUUGCGACGUAGCGUGCUGCCAAGUCAAGUUGAUAUAACCUUUUUGCCGUAGGCGUGUAAUCUUUUGACAACGGUCAUUGGAGGUGAUAAGCACGCAGUCAAUACCUUAAUCCUGAGUUAAUAGGGCGGUUACUACUGCCAAUUAGUGGGGCAAUUUUGUAGGGGAAACGGUUAGCAGAGGGCUACCAUCUUCUCUAUAAGAAGUUCUGGAGACGUCCAGGAACACACAUGUACAUGUGAGAGACCCACGAAUUCCUUCCCAUCUCCCUUUUCCAUCUGGUGAAGUGUGCUAUGGUACUGAGCUGCUGGAUCUCGCCGGCUCUUCUCCUUGGCGUGCACCGAGGAGGAGGGUGAGCGGUAUCUCCGAGCUAUUGCCGUCAGGAAGCCUGCACGAGGGACAACAAUAAAGUUUUUGGGUAGCGCAACUACGCAACCGCUCGAUUCGAUCGACUAUGUUCUGCGCUGCCUCAUCUUCGAUCUGCACUGCAACACGUAACCCUGCAGCAAGUCUACACAAGGACGGAGCACUAAUCUGUAAGUCCUAGAUUGGUUUCUUACAGAGUUGUAGGUUACACAAGAUCUAGAAUUGUUACAUACUUAUUAUUAUGGGUUACAUGAUGUUUUGUACGGUUACGUCUAUUUUGCAUAUGCUAUUUUUACAUACCGUUUACAUGCAUAUGUAAUGGUUACGCCUAGCUAUUUGAAUCUAGAAUUGGGUUACAUAGCAGUAGCAAUGACUUACGUAAUAUGCCUCAUGUUUAUAUCUGGUAGAAUUUAACACGUAUCUCCAACAUAUUUUGAGGCAGUAUAAAUUUCAAUUCCUUUUGCUGCUCUGUUAAAUCCCGUCUUUCGUGUGGCCCAACACUCUAGUAUGCAUGUAGCACCAAGCUUGUUUGAGCCGCUUUGUGCUCUGAUUUUGCUGUCUGUAUCAGGUUGGACUGUUUCUUUGUCUUGCGAUGUAUAGCUUCAUAUCUUCUAGAGGUUAGACAGCAAAACCCGCGUUCUCUUAAGGCAACAACUCGAAGAAUCUGCAGCGCUCCUGAUAUAUCACUGCUGCAGAAACAAUCUUUAGUACUGAUUUCCAACCCCCUUUAGUAUCGGUUUGGCAAUCAGUACCACUACGUCGGUACUAAAGGGAGUUCUCUAGAAUCGGGUCAAAUAACUGGUACUAAAAGUGCUCCUCUACUACCAGUUGGUAACACCAAUAGGUAGUAACUUUUUUUGCACCCAAAAAAUUAAAGAAAAACAGCCGGGAGGCUCGCGCACACACGCAUCAUGAGUAAUAUGCGCGUGCAUGGUUUGUGGGAUUCCAACCCACGACCAAGCUAUAAGCACGUAGUUACAAAAAAAUUAAACACUUAGACAUUUUAGAGCAUCCCAAAUAACUACAAAUUCUUUAGUUUACCAUAUACCAUAAAAUAUUAGUUAAAAUAAGAGCAUACGCACGUCGGAAGAGUCCCAAUGCACCGGUUGAGGAUCAGACCAGGCACUUUGAAUGCACAUGCCAUAAGAUAAUUCUGCAGGACGAUGAUUGCAAUAAUGGACCAUCGAGAAGAUAGGGGCGAUGGGGUUGCCUCAUCAAUUAUGACUUGGCGCAACAAGACCAGCAAAGUCUUUAUCGACAGGGGUGGAUCAAGGGGUGGGGCGGGUAGAGCUCCAAUCUUCCUACCGCCGCUCGAACAAUGGAGCCCCCCUUAGCCCCUCCAUAAAUUUUUAGGUAGAAGAAAAAAGAAGAGAAGGGAAGGAAGGGGAAGAAUAGGGAGCCCCUCCUAAGUAGGUCGCCAUCGUGCUUCCCAACGCAUGAUCGCCGCACCGCAUCCAUUCCUCUACAAGCCUCCAGCGUCUCUCCUGCCGCUACCUCUGAACCAUGUGCAGCUGCAGACCCAACUAGUGUCUUGUCACCCAUCUCAAUCCCAACAGAGCGGCGGCUCCUGCCAGCACAAAUCUCCCUCCGCCUGUUCUUCACGAUCGAUGGCCACCACAAGCAUAAACCUCGCCUUCGCAUCCACGCAAAAGGGUCGCCGGUGUGCCUUCUCGCAUCGCUUCUCAGCCUCCUUCACUUGCGGCUGGCCAAGAACCGUGCCACCACCUCGGGUGCGCGCCACCGCUCCAGGGCCGCUACCCCAUGCGUGCGGCCGCCGCCGGCCACCACGCGUGUGCAACCGUGUCGCACCGCUUCCCUGCUCUGUGCCACCACUGCUACUGCACCACCAGCUCCACCACCUUGGGCUGGUCGCCAGGGUGACUGAUUGGUGGAUUAUUACUACAAAUAAGUUCCUUAUUAUCUGCAACUACUAUUAACUCAGGGAUACAUGCGUCUUUUGCUUCUCCUGUUAAUAUGUCCUAAAAUAUCUAGAAUGCCUUAUAUUUCUGGACGGAGGAAGUAUUUGAAUAAAAUGAACCAAUUUUAAAAAAUGUGUUGUACACUACUACAGAAAGAACUAUCAGUGUCAAACCCAAAAAUGUCGUCACUGCCAGUUUUGGGCAUCGUUGGUGAAAGGUUGGCGGUGAUGGGUAUCCCCUUCAACAACGGCACUAGAGCUAACAGUGAUUGACAUUAGAAAACGAAAAAGGGGACCCACCUAGCCACCCCUGCAACCCGGCUGGCCGUGCCUCCCGUCAUCCCCACCACCUCGCCUCCCCCGUGACCCCCCGCCGGCGCCCUUGCGCCUAGCCCCCUCGCCUGCCUGGCCGGCCACCCUCGUCACGAGAGAGAGGGGUGCAUGUUGUAUAAUUGCGUGAAUUUUUAAUGUUUAAUUUCAUGUAAGUUUCAUAUAAUAAAUUGUACAAGUUUUAUUGUAUAUAUGAAUUCCAUAUAUAUAUAUUUAUAAUUUAAUGUAUGGUUUCAUGUGUAUAUUUCAAUAAUGUGUAUAUUUAGUAGAUAGCCGAUUUUCUUUUUCUACAAGACAAGGGUUGAUGUAUAAUUACGUGUAUAUGUUUAUUGUACGGGCAAUUAGGACAAGUUUUGUAUAAAUUUCUUUUAUUUCAUGGUUGUUGUAUGGUUUCAUGUAUAUACAUUUAUUGUACUACUUGAGACAAUUUUUAAUUUAAUGUUUCUAUGGUUACAUGUGUGUAUAACUAAUUGUAUUAUUAGUUAAGAUGGGAGCCAAAGAGGAUGAAAGGUAUAUAAUGGAGCAGAUUAUUGCUGGCGGUAGUGGCUCAAACGUUGCAAGAACCUACAUCAAGGGUGAGGGUAGCUAGGUGGACAUGUACCUCAACAUGUCCAGUGAUGGCAAUGACGAUGAGGAGCACGAGCAUGACGUUUAUGAUAGUGCGGAACAAGACAUUGCAGAAUUGGAAGGUUCUAAUGAGGUGUGCUUCAUGUUGAUGAUCUGGUUGGCUUUUUUUCUUUGGUCACACCUUAGUUACCAUAGAACUUCGUCUCGGGAGAAGAUUGGAGGUGCUAUGGUGAUUGGAAUUUUAUUGCCUCCAAAUAUGAUUUCCAUCGAAUCAUAUCCCUUGUAUUUAUCUUCUUUUUAUUUGUGAGAGCAUCUUCUUUAUGCUUGCAAAACAAUUCAAGUGCACAUACUACACCUAGGGUGAUGAUUAGGAGUAGAAACAAUUGCCAACAAACGAACACCACAUCCUAAGAUUCUUAACUUGUGGUAUAAUUAGUCUAGUAAAAAGAAAGAUAAAAACCUAAUGGGUGUACGUGAGUGCAAUGCGUAUAUGCAUAUGAGUGGAAGGCAUAUAAGCAAAGAUAAUAUUUACACAUAGAUCUAAGCACCAUGUUUACAACUAAGUUGCUGAAUUUCUCCAUAGCUAUAGAGAUUAAUGAACCAAGGUCAAAACACCAUGUCUAUCCCAAGAUCAGUAAUUCUUUAUAGCACAAGAAAAAGAAAGCGCAUUGCAAAGUUUAUAAACCAACCAAUGCAGCAUGAAAACAAGAUGAAUAGCUAGCAAGGUUUAUUAAACUGAAUGAUGACGGUCUGCAAGCAAGUUUGAACACCAUCUUUACACAAGAUUGCAAAUGGAAAAUUCCCAUAUGAAGAACUAACAUGGAUAUGAAAUCAUUCAUCAUAAAGCGUAAAGAACAACCAAGCCAACCAUAUGCAAAGCAUGAAUGGAAUGCAAUGAAGGUGCAAGAGAACAUUUUUGGAUGAACCCAUUAUGAUGAUGGCAAAAUGCGCCGUGCCCCCCAGCCCCCGCGGUGAGAUCCCGCCGCUCGCUGCCGCCAGACCCUAUUAGGCCUCCACCGGCAGGUCCACCCACGGUCCCGCGCGACGUGGCAGCCUCUUGGCUCUCGGCGCUCGCGGCACGCCAGUGCUGGCGCAGCCCCACCAGGCGACUACCCUCCCCCCAUAAGGCCUCGGCCCCUCCCCAGCGCCGCCCCCCAACACCAGGACUGCCUGCUGCCCCCCACCGUGAGGUAAUCGAAAUCGACUGCUCAAUCUCUCAAUCUGUUGAUAUGAUGCACACGGUUGCAAAAAUAGAUGUGUCAAAAUAGAUGUUUUGCCAAUUGCUAUAGAUGCAUACGGUUGACAUGAAGUCAAAAAUGACAUUUGGUUCCUUGUAGGCAGUCAAAAAUGAAGAAGUCAAAAAAUAUUGAUCUGAAAUCAAUGUGGGAAAGGGCUAUGAAGACACGCAGGUAGAUUCCCUUGUGAACUUUUUAUGUCGUUCGUCUAAAUAAUUUUUUGCAAUGGGCAUACCCUACUCUGAAAUCCUGGGUCCGCCACUGAUGAUGAUGGUCUAAAAAUAAACCAAGCCUAGAUUAAUUAGCCACAACUGAAAUUAAGCAAAGGUUAAUGUCAUUGACCCUAGCUCUAUCCUAGCUUUUACCAAAGUUCCGGCACAUAUAGUGGUUGGGCCCACUCUCUCUGCUUCCCUCUCUGCUGCAUGCACGCACACGAGCAACGGGAGGCCCGACGAAGCCCAGAAGGGUUCGGCCGAACCAGUAUGAGCGCCGCUCCCUCCCAGCCUUCGCGCAGAUGCUCCUCCAACGUUCCUUGACCCCUCCCUCAGCGUCCCGUUGGGUUUAACAUUGCAGGAGAGGAGUCCCUUUUUUAAAAUCUCAACCACCUCCUCUCCCCAUUCACUCCACUCUCAUCUCCAUCAAACUCACCAAGAUCCGCACCGGAAAUCCCUGCUUACCACCAUGGCUGGCAAAGCCCUCAUCCCUUUCACCAACUUGGGCUUGACCACUGAUCUCGAUGGGGAAAUCACUCUGGCAAAUAUGCGUGUAACACUGCCCCCUUUGCCGAGGGUUAAAGCCAAAACACUCAGCAAAGUGGAUAGUACCCCCCUUUUUACCCGUUUUGUCAUGUAUAACGGACCCCUCUCAAUUCACAAUAGACAUCAUCAUAGGCAUUUAUAAUAAACAAUCACAGGCAUAAUUCACAAUCACCAUUACAAGCAUUAUUCAUAAAUAUCACAGACAUAAUCCAAAGUAAGCAUGAAACAAGCCAUAAAUCCAAGUUCAAGUCACAACUAAGUUUCAUCCAAGUUCAAGUCACAAAUGCAAUGUCUAAAUCCAUGGAGGCCAAGGAGACCACUGCGACAAAUCUUGGUCUUCAUUAUUCGAAGCCGCCGAUUGAUUCUGCACAUAGGAUAGGACAUUCUGAGCUAACAUCUAAAGUUGUCAAAAUUAAAGUAUUCAAUCUUAAGCACAAUGUGUCAAAUGACUCACAGGAGUAGUUGUGGGUGGCUGAGGCGGAGGGAACAGCAUCGAUGGCGGUGGCAAAGAUUGACCCAUGCUCGAAGCAAAAUUCUGCAUGUACUGGAACAUCUGGUCCAUCCUCAUCCGAUUUUCUUCCUCCAUCCUCUGCCGCUCGGCCUCUAACCUCCGCUGAACCAUCUGCUCCAUCCUCGCCGCCAUCUCCUCUUGUUGCUUCCUUGCUGCUUCCACCUGGGCCUACAAUAUUUCAUUGCAAUGUUACAAUGCAAAGCUAAAGUAUAGCAACCAACGAACAAUGAAUGGAAGAGAAAGAACCUGGAGAGCCUCCAUCUGGAACUGUCCAAUGGUUGGUCGUAGCCGUAUCGCCGGGCUCGAGUCCGUGCUCCUUGCUUGGAUCUGGGAGAGAGUGGCAGUAGAGGCCGUGUUGAUUACGCCGUCGCCAAUCCAAUAUCGGCCAUGCUUCUUGCCUCCUCCCACCCUCAUCACGAUUUCUCCAUCAAUAUCCUCAGAGCUUGAAUCGAAGUCUGGCCCGUGAACCUCCCUUGCCAUCACUGUAUAUUCCUUUGCCGAGUGCCCGAGAUAAAGCACUCGGCAAAUAGAAAACACUCGGCAACUUUACUGUUUCCCGUAGUGUCGCUAUUUUUGCAGGUUCUCGACCAGGCCAGUUCUUUGGGCCAACCUAUCAUUCACGACUUAAACAUACGGUGGCUGUAGAAAUGUUCUAUUCUUUUCAACAAUACCAGCUGGUUCCUCCGUUUUUAUUCCACCAAUACAAGCACCACCUUGUAACAUUUCCUAUGUUUUUUUUUCCUUUCGUCUGUUUUCUACAUGCGUUGCUCUUUCAUGCAUUUUUUUCCAUUCCUGUAUUCCAAAUAGGUCUACAUGAACACAAAAUGAACUAGGGGACAGAAAAAGCCAGUGAAGCCAAUUUUGAGCUUCACCAGCUACUUGCUACAUAAAGUGUGCUAUAGUGACGUGUUUUAGCAAAACAUGUUAUCAAUGACUUGACAUUGGUGACGUGUUAAAACGCGUUAUCUCAAUGGCAAAUCAUUGGUGACGUGUUUUAAAAAAACAUGUCACCGUGAGAGUCAUUGGUGAAGGGUAAUUAUAAUGCGUCACUAAUGUUGUAGCAUUAGUUAUGAUAAUUUAGUAACGCAAAAAUCUACCAUCAGUAUUGAGCUUUAGAGCCAUCGCUAAUGUGGGUUUCUUACAUAGUGAUGCAAGCUCUACAAGGUGCUGUUGCUGCCAUUUUAAAGCAUCCCAUGACUACAUGUUAAUAACAUAGUUUACCAUAUAUCAUAAAAAUAUUAGUUACAAUAAGCACAUACGCAUGUGGAAGAGUCCGAAUGCACCGGUUGAGGACUAAACACAUUGAAUUACUAGAACCAAAUGUGUGUUUAGAACAAAGACAGGGGUCAAGGUUUGGGUAACCGCAUUAAAAACAUUGGAUUUUACUGUACAUGAACACUUAGUUACCAUUACCAUGCCUUGAGCACCUAGUUACAACAAACAUUAAUUUAGCCACUUUAGAGCUUCCAGAAUCGCUAUAAAUAAUAUACCUACGCCGUACCAUGAAAACAUCAAGAAGAGAGACGGAUACAUGGACCACCAUCAAGCGAGUAGUGACAGCACGCACAAGAAUACCCGGAACCUGUUAGCUUGUCUGUAGUGAUCUGUUUUCUUCCCCAUAAAAUCCAUGAGUAUUGCCACAAAUAAUGAAAGAGGCUGACCAAGCUAGCAAGGAGGUAGAGCAAACGUGAUACACGGCCUGCCAAGAUUGCCCUGGAUACGCCAAUAAGAGCGACAGAUACAUGGAUCACACCAAUAUGGUGAAACGUAUAUUCAUCACACAAGCAAAGCUGGUCAGUUUAUCCAUGGUCAAAUUGUGGUCUUUGUUUUCACUUGAGAGCUAAUUGAGGCACUAUAAUAUGGGCAGGCCUAUCUUCAACAGACAUGACAGCUACAGGGAACUUGACAUAAUUUGCUGGGCCGCCUGUGCACAAUUAUUUGUUUUAUUGUCCUUGCAUAGAAUGCUAAAAUACUCUUUACAAAAUGUUGGAUCUAAUAUUUGAAAUAUAGAGUAGUAAUCAUAUAUUGAUCAACAACUUGAAAUUAUCUGUACAUUCUCGGUGAAGCUGUUGAACUAAUUUUUGCAAAUUAUUAAUUCAUCUCAUUACGUAAAGAAAAAAGUAAGUGGAUAAGAUAUUUCGUGGACCACAUCACUGCAAACAUGUCAUGGAGAGACAGACCAAGGAGGCAGGACGUGAUACACGACUUACCCUAGGUUGCCGUGGAACCGCCAAGAAGAGAUACAGAUACAUGGACCACACCAUCUUGGGAGUAGUGACAGCAUAUAUGCAGAAGAAUACCCCGUGCCUAUUUGCAUGCAUGUCUCAAGUGAUCUGUUUUCUUCAGAAAAUACAUGAGCAUUGCCAGAAAGAAUGGCAAGAGACAAACAUGUCAUAGAGACUUGCAUGUCUUGCCUUGGAUACGCCAAGAAGAGGGACACAUACAUGGAUAACACAAAUCUAGUGACACGUAUAUUCAUCACAAAGGCAAAUCUGAUAAUUUUAUCCAUGGAGCAGACCAAGGAGAAAUUGAUGACGGACAUGUGAUCUCUGUAUUCAGUUGAAAGCUAAUUGAGCUACACUAAUAUGAGCAGGACUAUAUUCAAGAGACUUGUUGAGAGCUACAGGGAACUUGUAAUAAUUUGCUGGGCGGCCUGCGCACAAUGAUUUGUUAUACAUAGUUGAAAUAUUUCAAGAAUUUAUCAACCUCAUACUCUGAAACCCUUGGUGCAAUGUACUCUGCUUUCCGAGGUAGACUGUUCACGUAAAAUGAGGUCAUGCGUAAGACGGAAUCGGAUUGGAUUCACAGGGAAUCAGAUUUGGAUAGCACCUUUUAGCAGGUUUUUAGUCAAAUGCAAAUUCGGAUCCACAUGUGGUUGAAUGCGAGUUCAAAAUUCUACUUGGAUAUCCAUUUAAUUUAGGUGAUAGCAAUUAGCACAAAAUGUUGGAUGAACAAAAUCAUAGUUAGACAUACAAUUACAUGUAUGGUUAAAGUAUAAUACAAUACACCAAGAUUAUUCCUUGAAAAUAUUUCUUAAAAAUAUUAUAAUAAAUGAAUAAAUAUAAUUGUGGCCACCAACAAAUAGUCGGUGGUCGCUAAGUUGGAGCCAUUUCUGGUUACUAAUGCGGCCUUCUCCUCGACCAGCGACGACAGCUGAGCUUGUUCCUUCUGACACUAAAUCAUCAGAGUCUUCCCUCCACUACUAUAGAAUGCACCUUUAGCACCAAUUGGGAAAUCCCCUUCAGUAUUGGAUGCUGCAACCAGUGCUAUAUAUCAAAAUGGAGACUAAAAGCCUCGGUCUUGGGUACCGGUUGCAUAACGCAUUACUAAAGGAGGCAAAAGAGAAAUGUAACAAAAAAAAUAUUUUGAAUUCCAAGAAUGUUUCACUAUUCAAGAUGACUAGCUGAGAGUCAACAGACAAGAUACUAGGAAUGUGGGUGCUUGAAUGCAUUUGUACAGAGGUCAUACUAUUUACAAACUCUUCUAUGUUUCCAUAUGACUACCUACUUCAAUGUCACGCGAGCCAUUCAGCUGGACACAUGGCACACUAGCUUGCAUGUCGAAUCCAUGAUUAAUUAUUUCCACUUGUGAUCUCUUACCAGUAUUUGUCCAGACUAGAAACGUGCAACACAUUUUUAGGAUAUGGACACGCAUAUAUUUGGACUAGUAUACAGGUCACCUUUGGAUGCGUACAAGGAUGACCGGGAGGGACUAGAAAUGGUCUAGUUUUGAUUGGACUACAAAACUUUUUGUACAGUGAAUAGAGAAUAUAUAUUAUUGUUGGAAUACGAGGUAGGCUACACUAUCGCAAUUCUGAUAUUCUACCGCGUAUAACCAAGAAGAACUGUCGUAUAAGGAUCACGGGAUUACCACUCGACGCACUACUGGUGCGGAAGAUGUAGAUAUGCGUCGAUGCAGUGAAGACGAUCACGUAGUCGUAUGUAGUCGAUCAACGUAGUCGUACAUAGUCGAUCACGUCCAGCAGCUCCUCAGCAGCUCGUCCACGUGCAGCAAGAUCGCCUCCGGUACCGCGGCUCGUCGUUGGCUUGUCGUGGCUCGUCGACGGCUCGUCGGCGGCUCGUCCAAGUGCUGCAGGCGCAACACCUCCAAGGUAUCCACACGUGCAGGGAGGAAGCGUCGCAAGCCGGACUGCUAGAUCCACGAGUUGCAACAGGCGAGGGCGUGGGAGGCGCGGCAGGUGUGUUUCGCCAAAAAGGUGUAAACCCUAGGGCGCCCCCACCCCUCUAUUUAUAGAGGUUCCUGACGGGCCUCUGGAUCCGAGGCCCAUUAGUACUUCUAAACCUAAUCCAACUCGGAUCAGAUCCGAAUUGGGCUUCCAGCCCCUUAAGUGUGUGACCCUAUAAGUUCGGAUACGUAUAGACAUGGCCCGAGUACUCCUACUCGGCCCAAUAGUCGGUAGCGGCCUCUAGCAAGACGUGCCAACUCCUAUACGCACACGAAGAUCAUAUCAGACGAACCAUCACAACAUAAUAUACAUGCUAUUCCCUUUGCCUCACGAUAUUUGGUCUAGCUUCAAGCCGACCGCUCUUUCUCAGUCCUGUGAUUCGGAAUCCCUUUGUAGGUUAACUCUUAACCGUACGUAGCAUGGCCAUGCAUUUUCGGAUCUGAUCACUCGAGGGGCCCAGAGAUAUCACUCUCAAUCAGAGAGGGGCAAAUCCCAUCUUGAUUGACCAUGUCUCAUAGCAUGCUUCUUGACAAACCUAAAAACUACCUUUAUAACUUCCCUGUUACGGCGUAGUGUUUGAUAGCUCCUAAGUAGGUCGAUCCACAUCUAGAAUACAUGCGACAAUUUCAGGUCUAAGGACAAAGCGUAUAUGUUGUUUAAAGAGAGAACUACUUCUCGUGUUGGGUCAGUCCCAGCACAUGUCUCCACAUGUGUCCACAUUAUUAGUUCAACAUCUCCAUGUCCAUGACUUGUGAAACAUAGUCAUCAACUAAUACAUGUGCUAGUCUAAUAUUCAUGUGUGUCCUCACAUGAACUCCGACUAGGGACAACUUUAGAAUAACCAUACAAGUAAAGAGUUUCACAUACAAUUCACAUAAUUGCAAAUCAAUUCAAGUAGCCUUCAAUGGAUAUUCAAUGAACACAACAUACAAAUCAUGGAUACAAAUGGAAUAUCAUCAUCUCUAUGAUUGCCUCUAGGGCAUACCUCCAACAGUCUCCCACUUGCACUAGAGUCAAUCUAGAAGGUACCUAAUACCCAUAGCUCUUACAUGCGCAUCAUGCUUAGCCUGCGGGAGUGGUUUUGUCAACGGAUCAGAAAUGUUCAGAUCCGUGUGUAUUUUGCAUAUCUUGAUCUCACCCCGGUUAACGAAGUCUCGAAUGAGAUGAAAUCGCCGCAUUACAUGUUUGUUCUUCUGGUGGUUCCUUGGCUCCUUUGCUUGCGCAAUUGCCCCAUUGUUAUCACAGUAGAGAUUCAAUGGGCUGGACCCAUUCGGGAACACACCAAGCUCAAUGAGGAAAUUCCUUAUCCAAACACCUUCCUUCGCGGCUUCCGAAGCCGCGAUGUACUCGGCUUCUGUCGUAGAAUCGGCCACCGUCUCCUGCUUGGAACUCUUCCAACUAACAGCACCACCAUUUAGCGUGAACACAAAUCCUGUUUGUGACUUUGAAUCAUCUCUGUCGGUUUGGAAACUAGCAUCGGUGUAACCUGUUACAACGAGCUCCUCCUCACCUCCAUAGACGAGGAAUAUAUCUUUAGUCCUUCUCAAGUACUUAAGAAUGUUUUUCACCGCUGUUCAGUGACUCUCACCUGGAUCAGAUUGGUGUCUGCUUGUCAUACUUAGCACAUAUGAAACAUCUGGGCGAGUACUUAUCAUUGCAUACAUGAUAGAUCCAAUAGCCGAGGCAUAUGACACUCUACUCAUGUGAUCCCGCUCAUCAGCAGUCGAAGGACACUGAGUCUUGCUGAGAUGUAUGCCAUGUGACAUAGGCAAGAACCCUUCCAUGCUGAACCGCUUCAACACUUUGUCAAUGUAAGUAUCUUGGCUUAAACCUAUAAGCCUUCUCGAUCUAUCUCUAUAGAUCUUAAUGCCCAGAAUAUAUGCCGCUUCCCCUAAGUCCUUCAUCGAAAAACUAUUUUUCAGUGAAGUCUUUAUGGACUCAAGCAUAGGAAUGUUAUUUCCAAUCAGUAAUAUGUCAUCCACAUAUAAGAUUAGAAAUACUACAGAGCUCCCACUAACCUUCUUGUAAACACAAGACUCUUCUUCGUUCUUGGUGAAGUCAAACCCUUUGACCACUUCAUCAAAACGAAUGUUCCAACUCCUAGAUGCUUGCUUCAAUCAAUAAAUGGAUCUCUGAAGCUUGCAUACCUUUCCAGCAUUUUUCGGAUCGACAAAACCCUUGGACUGUAUCAUAUACACGUCCUCAGUUAGGUUUCCAUUCAGGAAAGCUGUCUUGACAUCCAUCUGCCAUAUCUCAUAAUCGAAAUAUGCAGCCAAACUUGAUUGUCUCCCAUGGACUCUAUUUCGGAUUGCAUGGCAUUCUGCCAUUUUUCGGAGUCUGGGUCCAUCAUUGCUUCUGCAUAUGUCACAGGCUCAUCAUUGUCCAACAAUAAUAUUUCCUGCAUUUCGCGGAGCCUUGCCGACCUUCGUGGUUGUGGCGGUGCUUCUCUUGCCAUGGGUAUCUCAACUUGUUCUGCUACGUUAGCAUCACUCAUUGAUUCUUGCCCGAUCGGCUCAUCUUGAACUUCUUCAAGAUGCACUGUCUUUCCACUCUUUUCUCCUUUGAGAAACUCUUUCUCUAGGAAAACCCCGUUCCGAGCGACAAACACUUUGCCUUCUGAUCAGUUGUAAAAAUAAUAUCCCAAAGUUUCCUUUGGAUAUCCCACGAAAAUGCACUUAUCCGACUUGGGUGCGAUCUUGUCCGACUGAAGUCGCUUGACAAACACAUCACAUCCCCAAAUCUUUAGAAAAGACAAACUAGGAACCUUUCCAGUCCAUAUCUCAUAUGGUGUCUUAACUACGGAUUUAGAUGGUACCCUAUUAAGUGUGAAAGCUGCUGUUUCUAGAGCGUAUCCCCAAAAUGACAACGGUAGGUCCGACUGGCUCAUCAUUGAUCGAACCAUGUCUAACAAAGAUCGAUUACGUCGCUCGGACACACCGUUUCUCUGAGGUGAUCCAGGCGGCGUAAGUUGUGGAACAAUUCCGCAACUCUUUAGAUGAUUGCUAAACUUGUGGCUCAAAUACUCGCCUCCACGAUCAGAUUGUAAGGCCUUAAUUUUCUUGACACGCUAAUUUUCAACUUCAUUCUGAAAAUCCUUGAACUUUUCAAAGGUUUCAGACUUGUGCCUCAUCAAGUAGACAUAGCCAUAUCUACUAAAAUCAUCAGUGAAAGAUAUGAAGUAUUGGAAUCCUCCUCUAGCCGUCGUGCUCAUUGGUCCGCAUACAUCACUAUGUACGAGUUCCAACAAGUCUACUGCUCUCUCAGGAAAUCCUGUGAAAGACGUCUUGGUCAUCUUGCCUAGCAAGCAAGCCUCACAUGUCUCGUAUGAUUCAAAAUCAAACGAAGUUAGAAGUCCAUCAGAAUGGAGCUUCUUCAUGCGUUUUUCACUUAUAUGACCCAAACGACAAUGCCACAAGUAGGUAGGACUCAAAUCAUUAGGCCGAGGCCUUUUAGCACUUACAUUACAGACAGGUGAACCAUCAAGAUUUAAAACAAAUAAUCCAUUCACAAUGGGUGCAAAAGCCAUAAACAUAUUAUUCUUAGAGAUCACACAACCAUUGUUUUCACUCGCAAAUGAAUAACCAUCCUUCAUCAAGCAUGAAGGAGACAAAAUGUUUCGACUUAAACUAGGAACAAAAUAACAAUUAUUCAACUCCAUAAUAAAUGCUGACGGGAGGUGGAGUUGCAUCGUCCCGACGGUCAACGCAGCAACUCUUGCAUUAUUGCCCACGCGGAAAUCAACUUCUCCUCUUUCCACGCUUCUACUUCUUAUCAUUCCCUGCAUCGAAUUGCAAAUAUGAGCAACCGAUCCGGUAUCAAAUACCCAAGAAUUAAUAAUUGUAUCAGCGAGAAAUAUGUUGUCUAUGACAUUAACAACAAGCGUACCUGAGGUAGAAGUACUCUUACUUCCUCCAUUCUUCAACGAAGCUAGGUACUGCUUGCAGUUUCUCUUCCAGUGACCAAGUUCAUGACAGUAAAAGCACUCUUUGUCUGGAGCAGGUCCAGGUCCAGCUUUAACCUUGGGCGCUCGCUGGGUUUGGCUUGGAAAUUCCAGCCUUGCCCUUCUUCUUCCAAGAAUUGCCCUUCUUCUUAAAGCUAGGCUUGUUCUGUAUAGCCAUCACAUGGCUAGUACAAGCGCUUUUCUUGAUGUCUACCUCUGCUGUCUUGAGCAUACCACACAGUUCAUUCAAACCCUUCUCCGUCCCAUGCAUAUGGUAGUUCGAGAUGAAGUUCCCAUAGCUAGGCGGAAGAGAUGAAAGAAUGAAGUCAGUGGCCAACUCUUUGCCCAUUGGGAAGCCCAGCUUCUCCAAUCGCUGAGUGUAACCAACCAUGUUGAUUACAUGUGGUCCUACUGCUGCGUCUUCUGCUAGCUUGCACUCCAGAAAAGCUUUGGACACAUUGAACCUUUCAGUCCUAGCCUGUGUCUGGAACAUGUCCUUGAGCGCCACGAUCAUAUCGUGUGCCUCAUGAUUUGUUUCGAACUGCAUCUGCAGCUCGGGUUCCAUGCAAGCAAGCAUAAGGCAGCUUACCUCAAGAUUAGCAUCAAAUGCCUUCUUGUAAGCAGCCUUAACGGCAGCAGAUGCAUCAUCAGCAGGUACUGGUGGUAGUGGGGUAUCUAGAACAUCUUCCUUUUUAUCGGCCCUGAGAACAAUUCUCAGGUUACGGAUCCAAUCCGAGUAGUUUGUUCCAUUCAACUUGUCCUUCUCAAGGACCGAGCGCAAAGCAAACGAUGUGGUGGUGUUGCUAGGUGCCAUUUAAUCUACAACAAAAGUAAUGCAAAAUACACUAAGACAAACGUAUCCAUGAUAGAGCAAAUUACAUUAAACUAUUUUAACAGAAUCUACUCCCACUAAAAUCAAUAUCCCUCUAUUGAAACUUAGUGAUUCAGGAUCCACAACUAACAAGUCUACUAGUGAGCUUUAGCAUCACCGCUAGCAAACGAGGUAGAUCGGUAAGCAACUUUUGCUAAUCAUAUCACAUAUGACUCCUGUUGUUGGGUGACAUCUCCAUGUCUCGGCGCCCAACCAUUAUGCCCCAAGGUCCUUAACCGUUAAGAUGACCUCGUUAAGCAAACCAACCCUUAUGCGUGUAAGUGUCCGACACAAACCCGUCUAGUCAAGGAAAACUAGUGGCACCCUAAUUUCAUAGACCCACCACUAAUUGUACAAGACAUGGGACGGUGCAAGUUUUAGUUGGGAGGGCAUACUAACUUAAAUUUUUUGUGAGGGAUCGUUCUACUUCUAACAUCACAGCAUGCAGAAAGUAAAACAUAAACAGAAUAGCAUUCACACAGCUGUGACACAGUAUGGCCCGUUUUUAUAUGGUGAUCUCCAUCUCCAUAGAACCUGUUCACCAUGGUGAUCUCCAUCUCCAUGUUCCAUGUGCGCCAUCCUCCUGGUGAGGAGUCCUCCAAGAACUAGAACAUGCUAUUACACCUAAUAGCUAGUAAAGAAUCUAGUAAUGAAGAUUACAUAGUUGCUUGGAUCAUCACAGAUUGGUACGCAGACCAUUAAAUACAAUAAAGUGACAACACAUAUGGCUCCUGCCGUGUUGCCGUACGCGCGACACGCAGGUCACGAAUGAGUUACACACAUGCAUCACAUACACAAGGGGGCCAUACUGAUCACAAGAUACAUACAUACAUCCUGCAAAACAGAGUUAGGCGUCCUAACGUUCCAAACUUCGAAGGCCCGAAACUCCAUCUUCCAAGCCGAAUUUGGGAAAUCUAAUUUUGCCGAAAACGGCAAAGCGGUUGAAUUUCAUGUGUAACUUUUUCUGUAGAUCAAUUUUCAUAUAAAAUUCGCCCCGAUCCGAGAUCGUACCGAAAAGUUACGGCUGAUUUACCGAAGCAUACGCAUACGGCAAAAAUUCCGACCCCGGCAGUAGAUCCCAUCUACUAUUGCACAUCUAAUGCGCCUGGCGUAUGAUCCUGGAUUUCGAUUCGACCAAUCAUAUUGAUCUUCGCUCACUGCAACUGGAAUUACGUGUAUCACUUAACUCGUCGGCGGCUCGUCGGCGGCUCAUCCAAGUGCUGCAGGCCCAACACCUCCAAGGUAUCCACACGUGCAGGGAGGAAGCGUCGCAAACCGGACUGCUAGAUCCGCGAGUUGCAAUAGGCGAGGGCGUGGGAGGCGCCGCAGGUGUGUUUCGCCAAAAAGAUGUAAACCCUAGGGCGCCCCCACCCCUCUAUUUAUAGAGGUUCCUGACGGGCCUCUGGAUCCGAGGCCCAUUAGUACUUCUAAACCUAAUCCAACUCGGAUCAGAUCCGAAUUGGGCUUCCAGCCCCUUAAGUGUGUGACCCUAUGGGUUCGGAUACGUAUAGACAUGGCCCGAGUACUCCUACUCGGCCCAAUAGUCGGUAGCGGCCUCUAGCAAGACGUGCCAACUCCUAUACACACACGAAGAUCAUAUCAGAUGAACCAUCACAACAUAAUAUACAUGCUAUUCCCUUUGCCUCACGAUAUUUGGUCUAGCUUCAAGCCGACCGCUCUUUCUCAAUCCUGUGAUUCGGAAUCCCUUUGUAGGUUAACUCUUAACCGUACGUAGCAUGGCCAUGCAUUUUCGGAUCCGAUCACUCGAGGGGCCCAGAGAUAUCACUCUCAAUCAGAGAGGGGCAAAUCCCAUCUUGAUUGACCAUGUCUCAUAGCAUGCUUCUUGACAAACCCGAAAACUACCUUUAUAACUACCCUGUUACGGCGUAGCAUUUGAUAGCCCCUAAGUAGGUCGAUCCACAUCUAGAAUACAUGCGACAAUCUCAGGUCUAAGGACAAAGCGUAUAUGUUGUUUAAAGAGAGAACUACUUCUCGUGUUGGGUCAGUCCCAGCACAUGUCUCCACAUGUGUCCACAUUAUUAGUUCAACAUCUCCAUGUCCAUGACUUGUGAAACAUAGUCAUCAACUAAUACAUGUGCUAGUCUAAUAUUCAUGUGUGUCCUCACAUGAACUCCGACUAGGGACAACUUUAGAAUAACCAUACAAGUAAAGAGUUUCACAUACAAUUCACAUAAUUGCAAAUCAAUUCAAGUAGCCUUCAAUGGAUAUUCAAUGAACACAACAUACAAAUCAUGGAUACAAAUGGAAUAUCAUCAUCUCUAUGAUUGCCUCUAGGGCAUACCUCCAACAAUUAUUUCAUGUAAAUUUUUGACAAUUUUUUAAAAUUGUUUGAUAUUUUUUAAAUUUUUUUUAAAAUAACUUUGCCGAGUGUCCUAUUGUAGACACUCGGCAAAGCAGCCUUCACCGAGUGUUACCCCUGGGACACUCGGCGAAUUAAUGCCCGGCCGCUCAAGAAUAUGUGCCCGGCCCCCUCACUCUCCCGGCCCCCCUCACUCUCACUCCCCUCACUCCCUCCUCUCUCCCUCCUCUCUCCCUCUCGCCGCCGCCCGAAACCCCCGCCGCCGCCCGCCGCCCGGCAUGCCGCCCAGCGCCCCCCGCCGCCGCCCGGCGCUCCCGAAUCCGCCGCCGCCCGCCCGGCGCCCGGCCCCCGGAUCCGCCGCCGCCGGCCGCCCGGCGCCCCCGGAUUCGCCGCCGCCCGCCCGGCCCCCGGCCCCCGGAUCAGCCGCCGCCCGCCGCCCGGCGCACGGCGCCCCCGGAUCCGCCGCCGCCUGCCCGGCGCCCGGCCCCUGGCCCCCUGAUCCGCCGCCGCCCGCCCGGAUCCGCCGCCGCCCGCCCGGCGCCCGGCCCCCGGCCCCCGGAUCCACCGCCGCCCCCCCGGCCCCCGGAUCCGCCGCCCGCCCGUCCCCUCCACCGGAUCCGCCGGCGCCGGGGCCUGAAGAGAAGAGAAGAGGAGAGGAUGGUGGCGGCGGCGGCCGCGGCGGCGGAGCAGGUGGCAGAGCAUGCAUGAUUUUUUUUUAUUUUUUCAAUAAUUGUUCGCCAAGUGUUUUCUGGGCACUCGGCAAAGUCUUUGCCGAGUGCCCGACACAAAACACUCGGCGAACCAGUGUUUGCCGUCAAGAUUUUUGCCGUGUGUCGUUUGCCGAGUGUUACACUCGGCAAACGCUUUGUCGAGUGUUUUUGGGGUUUCGCGGAGUGACCCUGGCACUCGGCAUCACGCAUGUUUCCCUUAGUGAACUUGAAAUUAUCUGUACAUUCUCGGUGAAGCUGUUGAACUAAUUUUUGCAAAUUAUUAAUUCAUCUCAUUACGCAAAGAAAAAAGUAAGUGGAUAAGAUAUUUCGUGGACCACAUCACUGCAAACAUGUCAUGGAGAGACAGACCAAGGAGGCAGGACGUGAUACACGACUUACCCUAGGUUGCCGUGGAACCGCCAAGAAGAGAUACAGAUACAUGGACCACACCAUCUUGGGAGUAGUGACAGCAUAUAUGCAGAAGAAUACCCCGUGCCUAUUUGCAUGCAUGUCUCAAGUGAUCUGUUUUCUUCAGAAAAUACAUGAGCAUUGCCAGAAAGAAUGGCAAGAGACAAACAUGUCAUAGAGACUUGCAUGUCUUGCCUUGGAUACGCCAAGAAGAGGGACACAUACAUGGAUAACACAAAUCUAGUGACACGUAUAUUCAUCACAAAGGCAAAUCUGAUAAUUUUAUCCAUGGAGCAGACCAAGGAGAAAUUGAUGACGGACAUGUGAUCUCUGUAUUCAGUUGAAAGCUAAUUGAGCUACACUAAUAUGAGCAGGACUAUAUUCAAGAGACUUGUUGAGAGCUACAGGGAACUUGUAAUAAUUUGCUGGGCGGCCUGCGCACAAUGAUUUGUUAUACAUAGUUGAAAUAUUUCAAGAAUUUAUCAACCUCAUACUCUGAAACCCUUGGUGCAAUGUACUCUGCUUUCCGAGGUAGACUGUUCACGUAAAAUGAGGUCAUGCGUAAGACGGAAUCGGAUUGGAUUCACAGGGAAUCAGAUUUGGAUAGCACCUUUUAGCAGGUUUUUAGUCAAAUGCAAAUUCGGAUCCACAUGUGGUUGAAUGCGAGUUCAAAAUUCUACUUGGAUAUCCAUUUAAUUUAGGUGAUAGCAAUUAGCACAAAAUGUUGGAUGAACAAAAUCAUAGUUAGACAUACAAUUACAUGUAUGGUUAAAGUAUAAUACAAUACACCAAGAUUAUUCCUUGAAAAUAUUUCUUAAAAAUAUUAUAAUAAAUGAAUAAAUAUAAUUGUGGCCACCAACAAAUAGUCGGUGGUCGCUAAGUUGGAGCCAUUUCUGGUUACUAAUGCGGCCUUCUCCUCGACCAGCGACGACAGCUGAGCUUGUUCCUUCUGACACUAAAUCAUCAGAGUCUUCCCUCCACUACUAUAGAAUGCACCUUUAGCACCAAUUGGGAAAUCCCCUUCAGUAUUGGAUGCUGCAACCAGUGCUAUAUAUCAAAAUGGAGACUAAAAGCCUCGGUCUUGGGUACCGGUUGCAUAACGCAUUACUAAAGGAGGCAAAAGAGAAAUGUAACAAAAAAAAUAUUUUGAAUUCCAAGAAUGUUUCACUAUUCAAGAUGACUAGCUGAGAGUCAACAGACAAGAUACUAGGAAUGUGGGUGCUUGAAUGCAUUUGUACAGAGGUCAUACUAUUUACAAACUCUUCUAUGUUUCCAUAUGACUACCUACUUCAAUGUCACGCGAGCCAUUCAGCUGGACACAUGGCACACUAGCUUGCAUGUCGAAUCCAUGAUUAAUUAUUUGCACUUGUGAUCUCUUACCAGUAUUUGUCCAGACUAGAAACGUGCAACACAUUUUUAGGAUAUGGACACGCAUAUAUUUGGACUAGUAUACAGGUCACCUUUGGAUGCGUACAAGGAUGACCGGGAGGGACUAAUGGAUACAAGGAAGGGACCAUCAGGAUUAAUAUUGACAUAUGCCACAUGACAAUCUUCAUUGUCAUGCAAUCCCUAUCAACAAUCAUGGAAUCCCUAGUGUACUAAUCCCUGGAGGGUUGUGUGGAAAUUUAUUUUACCUUGCGGUGAAAAUCUCAUGAGCAGUCAUUAGUUAAGCUGACUAGCUGAGAUAUAAUAGACAAGCUAGUAAGAUUGGGAGCAUCAAUGCAUCCAUACAGGGUCACAAUAUCCUUUCCAUUCACUUUUAUAUAUAACCCUACGAAUACAAGUCCAACGAAAUGCGGGCCUUUCGAUCAAGAUAAAUUAAAUGGCCCACUUGUAUUUCUAAUCCAGGAUUAACUAUGCCCUCUGUUCAUCUCUUGCAAGCACGUGCAACACAUUUUCACGAUAUGGACAUGCAUGGAGGUUAUUAUACUGUUUGGACAAACUCUGAUGUGCCAUGACCUAAAUGCUUAGGGCCUGUUUGGUUUGAGUUGCUUAUUAUAAGCAACUUAAAGUUGCUUAAAGUUGCUUAUUUGAAGUUGCUUAUUUUUAGUCUAAACUGUUUGGAUACCCUUGCUUAUGAGCAUUGAAUGAGUUGGACAUUGUCAAAUUUGCCCCAUGUGUUGCUACCCCUCCAAUUUGCCUCCCCACCCUUCUUCUUCCUGCACACGUCCGAUCCCGGGGGCCGACGGCGGGCAGGGAGCAGCAGCAGCUGGCCAGGGCGGCGGUGGGGCGGGAGCGGCGGCGCACACCAGCACGCGCUCGCACGCCAGGUGCUAGGGCGCGGCGAGGCAGUCGUCGUAGCCCACCGGGAGCGGGUGCUCGGGCGCGAGGCGGUACUCGACGGAGAUGCCGAGCGUCGGGCGCGCGGCGGCGAGCGCGUUGAGGAAGCGAUGGUAGUGCGGCGACGUCGCGGACUCCGCCACGAAGCCGCCGCCGUGGACGUACACCACCACGGGCAGCUUCGUCUUGCCGUCGGCGGCCGCGGCCGCGGCCUGGGGUGGCAGGUAGAGGCGGACGGAGCAGGAGCCGAGGUCGACGUCCCUGGAGUCGACGCCCGUGGCGGCGUCCAGGCUAGGCCCGACCGGCGGCGGCACGAGCGGGCGCUCGAUGCGGCCGCUCUUGUAAAUCCGACGGGUCUGUGCGGAGGCGGGCGGCGGGCGGGAGCGGCGGGUGGGAGCGGCGGCAGGUGGUGCGGAGGCCGGCGGCGGCGGGUGGCGCGGAGGAAGGGGAGCUGGUGAGUGGUGACAGGGGAGGGGGGGAGAGAGAGGGGGGGGUAGGGUGCAUUGAAUGAGGGCAGGAGGUGUAAAGUGCACCUUUUAGUCCCCAUGAGCAACCAUAAGCAGCCCAAGAGUUGCUUAUUUGCUUAUAAUAAGCAACCUCAUAAGCAAGAGUGAUUGGUUUCAUAAGCAACUUAUUUGCUUAUUUUAAGUUGCUUAUGCAUAAGCAUGUGAAACCAAGCAGGUCCUUAACCUAUGGUUGUGGCACCACACAGUACAUAGUAUUUAAUAAUGCUAUUCGUUUGGUAUGUGCACAAGGGCACGCAUGAAAUGUCUGGCCCACGGUAAACAAGUACGGACGCUGCAAAUAAUCUACUCUGCUCGUCCAGUCCCUAGCCUAUAAAUAGAUGCCAUGCUAGCUCUUGUUGUGCUCACAAUUAAUCCUGACUACACACGAGCUUCUCUCCCUGGCCAAGACACAAUCAUAGUAUGAUGAAGAACAUGGCACUAGCCGGCAAUGGUAUGAAGAACUUAAUCCUCGCUGUUCUCUUACUGUGUCUAGUUAUAGGGCAGAUACAAGUGGAAGCUAAGAGCUGCUGCCCAUCCAUUACUGCAAGAAAUAUCUACAAUGCCUGCCGUAUCACGGGUACAUCCCGUCCAACGUGUGCAAAACUGUCAGGCUGCAAAAUUAUCAGCGGGGACAAAUGCAAGCCCCCUAACGACCACCUCACCCUUGACCCGGACACUGGUAAAUAAUAAAUUUAUCUCACUUGAUUUCUUCGUGUUUUGAGUCGUUAAUGUAUUUUCCAUCUGAUGAAACGUAUUGGUUUUGCAUUGAAGAGGAAGUUAAUGUGCUUAACUUCUGCAAGUUGGGGUGUGCGUCGUCUGUGUGCAACAACAUCAACGCUGGUAAGCACCUUUUGCUCAGACGGAGAAAACAAUAAUCAUUAAUUAGCGGCAGCUAGAAUCCUAUAAUCUAAUAUAUUUAUAUAUAUAUAUAAUUUUAUCAGCUCUGGGAAAUGAAGAGGCGAACGAUGCCGUUGAGAGUUGCGACCAAGCCUGCUCUAGCUUCUGCAACGUGCACGUUGGCGCUGCCACCGUGGUUGCUUAAGCAAAUGCAUCCAACUGGAUCGUCCUUGUGCUAAAUAAUUGGAUAUCGUAUCCACUUAAAGCUGCCUUGUGUAGUACGUUUUUGUUUGUGUCUCUCUUUAUAUUCCAAUAAGGUCGGUGAUCUUGAUGCCACACACUCAGACGUGUGUUCAUCUCCAGAUACUACUCCAUGCUACCUGCCCUUUGUGUUUUGUUCAAUAACUGGGUAUCAUAUCCCAGCCAGUGUGCCAUCUGUUUUGUGUUUAUUUCCUUCUAGUUUCAAAGGGGUUAUCAU
rnacentral:lncRNA from 1 species